rnacentral:lncRNA from 1 species
GAUUUUGUUAACAAUCCACUUCCUAUUUUUGAAUUUCACUUGUGCACCACGUGGAAAGGAUGUAUCUUUUGAGUGGAUCGUGCCUCCUUUAUCAACCUCCUCAUUUUCAGGUACUUGCAAAACAUUACAAUUGUUAGUGUUGGUACCUGUUGUGCUAUCCUCAUCAUCUAAUGCAGCUUCCCUUCUAUAUCUGGCUCUCUUUCUUCUUCUCAUUUUGUCUUCUUUAAAGCCACCAUAUAUUAACACCUGGUCAUGGUCUUUUAACUUCAUGCUCCCGUCAUGGAUACGUAUCAUCAUUUUAGAAUUCCUCAUAAAUGGCCUUCCCAAAAUUAAUGGAAUUCUUCCCUCAUUCUCCAUAUCCACAACUACAAAAUCAACCAAGAACUCCAACUGCUCAAUACGAACAAUUGCUUCUCCACCUUGCCAACUGGCUUCUUAAUAGAACCAUCUGCAACCGCUAGAGAAAUAUCUAAUGGUUUUAAUACUAACCCUUUAAUUUUCUUCAAAUAACUCAAGGGUAUCAUAUUAAUGCUAGAUCCAGAGUCUAUCAUAGCUCUUCCUAUAUCUACAUCAUUCAUCACGCAUGGAAGAGUCACAACCCUGGAUCCUUCAUUUUAGGUGGAUGAUGUUUUUUUCUUGGCUGCACAAGCACUUCCUAUUCUUCCUCAUCUGUAUCUAAAUCUAUCACUUCUCCAAGAUAAUACUUAAUUUUCUCAGAGUAAAUAGGAAUUUGAGGAUGAUUUUCAUUUAAAGGAACAAUAGUCACCUGAUUAAACAUUUCUCUAAUUUGCCCAGUGUGACCAUCUCUUCUUCUUUCAUUUUUUUCGAACCCCUAUUCUCUCUCUUCACCAAUCUCAUCACUCUUAAUCAUCUCUUCAUAUUCUUCCUUACUACUUUCUACCUCAAUAACUUCCUCCUCUAGUUUUCUUUUCUCCCCUAUUACAACAACAUGACACUCCUCCUUAGGAUUAACAUCAGUAUUAACCCUGAG